UGGAAUGGACUUCAGCAAGAAACUGGAAACAAUAGAUAACACAGAGAAAAGUCCACAACCACAAAAAAGUACAGGCAAUUGAAAUAAUUAAAUGGUGAAGAAAAAGAUACAAGAAAAGCAAGUGUGGGAACAUGUACAUAGAUUGCCAAGGUGGUCUCUGUGCCUGAGAACUAUAUGAACAGUGCAGUUCAUGGGGAAAGAUGUUACUGUCCAAAAGGAGUCUGAUCUAGCUCAAAGAGGUUUAUGUGCACUGACAUUGAGUUCUGUAGCUGUAUGAAAUUACCAUGACCUGUCAAAUAGCAGAACCAAGAACCUUAAGACUGAGGAAAAGCCUCUGAAAGUUGCCGGCAGUUAAGAAAGCGUGGAGUAGAUUGCAGAAGGGGUGAGUAGCUGAGCUUUGCAGCUCUGUUUGAGACAACUGAACUGCUAUGCAGUUUACCAUGCUGCAGCUCCAUAUAUUUAUUUCAAUUCUGGAAUAUCUGGAAACUAAUCUCUUACUAGGUUAAUUGUCUUUUACCACUGUGAUCUAGAAAUGUAAACAAAUAUUUUUAUUGACAUUAAAGCCAAUUCUCCAGUUAACACUGGAAUUAACCCAUGUUUUCUAUACUUCUACUCAGAUGUUAGAAGCAUGUAAGGCAUGGAAUGUAAAUAGAUUUAGUUAUUUGCAUUUUAACCAGCAAAAAAGUGUUUCUCUGAAUAUUUUUGACUGAAAAAAUAGUCUAGUGAUAAUUACCUAUUUUUACAUGUAUUAUAUAUGAAGUAGGGAUACACAUACUAAUUAGAUAGUAAAAUUAAAUACUUAUGAAGUGCUGUUGGUCUAUAAA